UGCACUCAAAAACUUAUCAUCAUCAACAGGUCCCAUCUCCCUUAUCAUAUAAAACCACAUGGUUACUGAUGGCGCAAGCCCUGUGGAAAGGUUGUACAUCUUAUUGAACAACCUAACUUUGUCGGGUUCCAUUUCGUACAAAACCUUUUUCCGCCCCUUGGCAAUCCCCAUAUCCUUUCGACAUUGGUUGCGUCGACUAUGAUCUCCCUGAUCUCCCCCCUCCUAGGAAUGACAAGUUGAGACAACUCUGGGUCAUAACAAUUCAUGACACACUUCACGAGAUCUACUUUCAUUGUUCUUGUUCCAAAUUGUUGCACACCGCCAAAACUUAACGCACCAAUGACAUCAUUUUGUAUCGGGGCGAGAGAACUGUUUAGCAUGAAUGGUCUUGAAGGUGACGCCCUGUUCCUUGGUGCCAGCACAAUACAACCAACCU
rnacentral:lncRNA from 1 species